UAGUUUUCGGAUUACAGAGACCGGCGCACGGGUGCGUAACGCGUAUGCAACUUGCCUUUAUCACCGGGAUAGCCCAGCGAAAGUUGGAUUAAUACCAGAUAACAUUAUGUAUUGCAUAAUAUGUAAUUGAAAGAUUUAUCGGAUAGAGAUGGGCAUGCGUAGGAUUAGUUAGUUGGUGAGGUAACGGCUCACCAAGGCAGCGAUCCUUAGGGGGCCUGAGAGGGUGAACCCCCACACUGGUACUGAGACACGGACCAGACUCCUACGGGAGGCAGCAGUGAGGAAUAUUGGACAAUGGGUGAGAGCCUGAUCCAGCCAUCCCGCGUGAAGGAAGAAUGUCCUAUGGAUUGUAAACUUCUUUUGUAUAGGAAUAAACCUAAGUACGUGUACUUAGCUGAAGGUACUAUACGAAUAAGCAUCGGCUAACUCCGUGCCAGCAGCCGCGGUAAUACGGAGGAUGCGAGCGUUAUCCGGAUUUAUUGGGUUUAAAGGGUCCGUAGGCGGAUUUGUAAGUCAGUGGUGAAAUCCUGCAGCUUAACUGUAGAACUGCCAUUGAUACUGCAGGUCUUGAAUAGCAAUGAAGUAGCUGGAAUGUGUAGUGUAGCGGUGAAAUGCAUAGAUAUUACACAGAACACCAAUUGUGAAGACAAGUUACUAAUUGCCAAUUGACGCUGAUGGACGAAAGCGUGGGGAGCGAACAGGAUUAGAUACCCUGGUAGUCCACGCCGUAAACGAUGGAUACUCGUUGUUGGAGCGCAAGCUUCAGUGACUAAGCAAAAGUGAUAAGUAUCCCACCUGGG
rnacentral:rRNA from 1 species